rnacentral:rRNA from 1 species
UACGUAGGGACCGAGCGUUGUCCGGAUUCAUUGGGCGUAAAGAGCUCGUAGGCGGCUGUUCAAGUCGAACGUGAAACUCGGAGCUCAACUCCGAGCCUGCGUUCGAUACUGGACGGCUAGAGUCUGGUAGGGGGAUCUGGAAUUCCUGGUGUAGCGGUGGAAUGCGCAGAGUAUCAGGAGGAACACCGGUGGCGAAGGCGGGAUCCUGGGCCAGUACUGACGCUGAGGAGCGAAAGCGUGGGGAGCAAACAGG